rnacentral:ncRNA from 2 species
UGCUUCGCGAGGCGGAAUCUGAAGGAAGCCGUAGGCAAACGCACGGCUUGAGGUACACGAACCCAAUUUGAGGCCGUUAUAGUCGGAUGAGUUGCCAACGCACAACAAAAUCCAAAGCCGCCAAAGGCUGUAGCGGUAAACUUGGGCAAGCGCAGGAGGAAAGAUGAUGUU